UACGGGGGGGGCAAGCGUUGUUCGGAAUUACUGGGCGUAAAGGGCGCGUAGGCGGUCCGAUAAGUCCCGUGUGAAAGCCCCCGGCUCAACUGGGGAACUGCACGGGAAACUGACGGACUUGAGUUCGGGAGAGGGAAGCGGAAUUCCGGGUGUAGCGGUGAAAUGCGUAGAUAUCCGGAGGAACACCGGUGGCGAAGGCGGCUUCCUGGACCGACACUGACGCUGAGGCGCGAAAGCUAGGGGAGCAAACGGG
rnacentral:rRNA from 1 species